rnacentral:rRNA from 1 species
UACGUAGGGUGCGAGCGUUGUCCGGAAUUAUUGGGCGUAAAGAGCGUGUAGGCGGCUAGGUAGGUCCGCUGUUAAAACUCGAGGCUUAACCUCGAGAGGUCGGUGGAAACCCUCUGGCUAGAGUCCGGAAGAGGAGAGUGGAAUUCCUGGUGUAGCGGUGAAAUGCGCAGAUAUCAGGAAGAACACCCGUGGCGAAGGCGGCUCUCUGGGACGGUACUGACGCUGAGACGCGAAAGCGUGGGGAGCGAACAGG